GGUUCCAUAGUGUAGGCUAGCACGUCUGCUUUACACGCAGAAGGCCCUGGGUUCAUACCCCAAUGGAGCCA
rnacentral:tRNA from 1 species